UGGGGAAUUUUGGACAAUGGGCGAAAGCCUGAUCCAGCCAUGCCGCGUGUGUGAAGAAGGUCUUCGGAUUGUAAAGCACUUUAAGAUGGGAGGAAGGGCAGUAAGCGAAUACCUUGCUGUUUUGACGUUACCGACAGAAUAAGCACCGGCUAACUCUGUGCCAGCAGCCGCGGUAAUACAGAGGGUGCAAGCGUUAAUCGGAAUUACUGGUCGUAAAGCGCGCGUAGGUGGUUCGUUAAGUUGAAUGUGAAAGCCCCGGGCUCAACCUGGGAACUGCAUCCAAAACUGGCGGGCUAGAGUAGGGCAGAGGGUGGUGGAAUUUCCUGUGUAGCGGUGAAAUGCGUAGAUAUAGGAAGGAACACCAGUGGCGAAGGCGACCACCUGGGCUCAUACUGACACUGAGGUGCGAAAGCGUGGGGAGCAAACAGG
rnacentral:rRNA from 1 species